UACUACUAUAAGACCCCCUUUCAGGGACCCCCCACUCUAGUCUUGGGAGAGAGAGCACACCCAAAGAAACAUGAGAAUCC
rnacentral:pre_miRNA from 7 species